UACGAAGGGGGCUAGCGUUGCUCGGAAUUACUGGGCGUAAAGCGCACGUAGGCGGAUUUGUAAGUCAGGGGUGAAAUCCCGGGGCUCAACCUCGGAACUGCCUUUGAUACUGCAAAUCUCGAGUCCGGAAGAGGUGAGUGGAAUUCCUAGUGUAGAGGUGAAAUUCGUAGAUAUUCGCAAGAACACCAGUGGCGAAGGCGGCUCACUGGCCCGGUACUGACGCUGAGGCACGAAAGCGUGGGGAGCAAACAGG
rnacentral:rRNA from 1 species